GUUUAAAUUAUGUUUCUUAAUUAAUUAAAUAAUUAAUAUUUAUGUUUAAUCAGGGGUUCGUGAUAUCUGUGGCAGGGAUCUUUUAAGCGAACCCAGGUGAUGACAUGUGAUUAUAGGGAUUAUGGGACGGAGUGAUCAUGAUGUAUUUAGCUAGUAGACAUUGACUUUCCUUUUGACAUGUGUAUAUAUUUAUGGACAUUUGAUAUGGAAACUGGAAUUUAUCUUUGUUUAGCUAUUGAUGGUUGAUCUGAUUUAUCUGCCUUGCGCGCCUGCGGGGUCCGCCCUGCAGGUGCGCGGCGUCUGCUCGCGCCCCGGGCCCCGGGUUCGGGGCGUGACAGAUUUAUUGGUAUCAGAGCAUAGGUUAAAGAUCACUAGGGACAU